UAAAGGAGUGAUCCGGUGACGGAUGGGCAUGCGUGACAUUAGCUAGUCGGCGGGGUAACGGCCCACCGAGGCGACGAUGUCUAGGGGUUCUGAGAGGAAGGUCCCCCACACUGGUACUGAGACACGGACCAGACUCCUACGGGAGGCAGCAGUGAGGAAUAUUGGUCAAUGGGCUUACGCCUGAACCAGCCAAGUCGCGUGAGGGAAGACUGCCCUAUGGGUUGUAAACCUCUUUUGUCAGGGAGCAACGCCGGCUACGUGUAGCCGGACUGAGAGUACCUGAAGAAAAAGCAUCGGCUAACUCCGUGCCAGCAGCCGCGGUAAUACGGAGGAUGCGAGCGUUAUCCGGAUUUAUUGGGUUUAAAGGGUGCGUAGGCGGAAUGCCAAGUCAGCGGUAAAAUCGCGGGGCUCAACCUCGCUCCGCCGUUGAAACUGGCGUUCUUGAGUGGGCGAGAAGUAUGCGGAAUGCGUGGUGUAGCGGUGAAAUGCAUAGAUAUCACGCAGAACUCCGAUUGCGAAGGCAGCAUACCGGCGCCCAACUGACGCUGAAGCACGAAAGCGUGGGUAUCGAACAGGAUUAGAUACCCUGGUAGUCCACGCAGUAAACGAUGAAUACUAGCCGUUCGGGGCAAUUGGGCCUUGAGUGGC
rnacentral:rRNA from 1 species